GUGUAGUAUGAAAAGAGAGACGUUUAGCACUCCCCUAGACAAGGAUGGACACGUAUAAUCGGUAAGGCACUAGUCACCAAGGUGGCUGCUUACCAAUUUUUUUU